AACGUACGCUGGCGGCACGCCUAACACAUGCAAGUCGAACGAAGUAGCAAUACUUAGUGGCAGACGGGUGAGUAACAUGUAGGUAUCUGCCCUUUGGCCUGGAAUAACACGAGGAAACUUGUGCUAAUACCGGAUAAGUCUUUACGGAGAAAGCUUUAUGCACCAUUGGAUGAGCCUGCACUUGAUUAGUUUGUUGGUGGGGUAAUGGCCUACCAAGACUGUGAUCAAUAGCUGAUUUGAGAGGAUGAUCAGCCACAUUGGGACUGAGACACGGCCCAAACUCCUACGGGAGGCAGCAGUGGGGAAUCUUGCACAAUGGAGGAAACUCUGAUGCAGCGAUGCCGCGUGAGUGAAGAAGGCCCUUGGGUUGUAAAGCUCUUUCGUCGGGGAAGAAAAUGACUGUACCCGAAUAAGAAGGUCCGGCUAACUUCGUGCCAGCAGCCGCGGUAAUACGAAGGGACCUAGCGUAGUUCGGAAUUACUGGGCUUAAAGAGUUCGUAGGUGGUUGAAAAAGUUAGUGGUGAAAUCCCAGAGCUUAACUCUGGAACUGCCAUUAAAACUUUUCAGCUAGAGUGUGAUAGAGGAAAGCAGAAUUUCUAGUGUAGAGGUGAAAUUCGUAGAUAUUAGAAAGAAUACCAAUUGCGAAGGCAGCUUUCUGGAUCAUUACUGACACUGAGGAACGAAAGCAUGGGUAGCGAAGAGGAUUAGAUACCCUCGUAGUCCAUGCCGUAAACGAUGUGUGUUAGACGUUGGAAAUUUAUUUUCAGUGUCGCAGGGAAACCGAUAAACACACCGCCUGGGGAGUACGACCGCAAGGUUAAAACUCAAAUGAAUUGACGGGGACCCGCACAAGUAGUGGAGCAUGUGGUUUAAUUCGAAGAUACGCGCAGAACCUUACCAACACUUGACAUGUUCGUCGCGACUCUAAGAGAUUAGAGUUUUCGGUUCGGCCGGACGAAACACAGGUGCUGCAUGGCUGUCGUCAGCUCGUGUCGUGAGAUGUUGGGUUAAGUCCCGCAACGAGCGCAACCCUCACUUUUAGUUGCCAUCAUUAAGUUGGGCACUCUGAAAGAACUGCCAGUGAUAAGCUGGAGGAAGGUGGGGAUGACGUCAAGUCCUCAUGGCCCUUACGUGUUGGGCUACACACGUGCUACAAUGGUAUCUACAACAGGAAGCAAGACUGCGAAGUUAAGCAAAUCCCUAAAAGAUACCUCAGUUCGGAUUGCACUCUGCAACUCGAGUGCAUGAAGCUGGAAUUACUAGUAAUCGUGGAUCAGCGUGCCACGGUGAAUGCGUUCCCGGGUCU
rnacentral:rRNA from 1 species